GAUGAACGCUGGCGGCGUGCCUAAUACAUGCAAGUCGAGCGAACAGAUAAGGAGCUUGCUCCUUUGACGUUAGCGGCGUACGGGUGAGUAACACGUGGAUAACCUACCUAUAAGACUGGGAUAACUUCGGGAAACCGGAGCUAAUACCGGAUAACAUAUUGAACCGCAUGGUUCAAUAGUGAAAGGCGGCUUUGCUGUCACUUAUAGAUGGAUCCGCGCCGUAUUAGCUAGUUGGUAAGGUAACGGCUUACCAAGGCAACGAUACGUAGCCGACCUGAGAGGGUGAUCGGCCACACUGGAACUGAGACACGGUCCAGACUCCUACGGGAGGCAGCAGUAGGGAAUCUUCCGCAAAGGGCGAAAGCCUGACGGAGCAACGCCGCGUGAGUGAUGAAGGUCUUCGGAUCGUAAAACUCUGUUAUCAGGGAAGAACAAAUGUGUAAGUAACUGUGCACAUCUUGACGGUACCUGAUCAGAAAGCCACGGCUAACUACGUG
rnacentral:rRNA from 1 species